GGGCACUUAGCUCAGUGGUAGAGCGCCUCGCUUACAUCGAGGAGGUCGUGGGUUCGAUCCCCUCAGUGCCCA
rnacentral:tRNA from 1 species